rnacentral:misc_RNA from 1 species
GGUCAGGUCGGGUCACGUAUGUUUGGGGGUCACUGUCAAGAGCGCGUCGUGUCCACAUCGUUUGCUUUGUUUGCCCUUCCAAACAGCAGUUAUGUCAGCGAUGGAUAAAUAUGCACUGCACAUGAGAAGCGGCAGGGUUAUGGCUGCAGUCGGACUUGGGACGUUAGCUCCAAAAGAGUCUGAGGAAGAUGUGAUUGCCGCAGUGAAGUCCGCUGUCCGUGCAGGGUACCGCCACAUUGACUGUGCUGCCAUCUACAGGAACGAGCGUGCAGUCGGACACGCCAUCAAGCAGCUGAUAGUGGAGGGCAUCGUUAGACGUGAAGACCUCUUCAUCACCAGCAAGUUAUGGAAUACAUGUCAUCGAGCGGACCUGGUGCGACCGAGUCUACGCAAGUCUCUGGAGGAUCUUGGAUUAAAAUACCUGGACCUGUACUUGAUGCACUGGCCUGUAGCCUAUAGGGAGGGCGGAGACUUCCACCCCUGGGACGGGGACACGGGGAAGGUUCUAUAUUCGGAUGUGGAUUACCUGGAGACGUGGAAGGCACUAGAGGACUGUGUAGACGAGGGUCUGACACACGACAUCGGGAUGUCUAACUUCAACAGCAAACAGCUACAGAGGAUUUUGAGUGAAGCCAGAAUAAAGCCCAGCAUGAACCAGAUUGAAGUGAAUUGUCGCAAUACCAACAGGAAACUCAUAGAAUUCUGUCAGUCACAGGGAGUUCCUGUGGUUGGGUUUGCACCUCUCGGAACUCCCAACAACAGCCCGUCAGACAAGAAGGUCUCUUUGCUUGAUGAACCUGUUGUGAAAGAAAUUGCAUCAACGAAGAACCGGUCACCUGCUCAGGUGUGUCUGAGAUUUGUCCUACAACUGGGGAUCGGAGUUGUGCCGAAAAGUGUUAACGCAGCUAGGAUAGCACAAAACAUUCAGAUCUUUGACUUUGACUUAUCGGACGAGGAAAUGCAGAAACUUUCAGCAUUGAAUAUCAACUACCGAACAUAUGCAGAAGACAUUGCCUUGGAACACAAGUACUACCCUUUCCACGAGGAGUUUUAGUGAAGCAGGGGAGACAACUCUACUAGUCUUGGAGAGAGACAUAUUUCCUACGUGACUACUUUUGUGCGACCACUACAAGAGAGGAUGAAUGUUGCGUAUCAGCACAGUCAGCAAUUUCCAGCUUUCGAGCAAUUUCCACAGAGUAGACAAACCGGUGACUUAUGCCUGAACAAUGAACACUGCUAUCAGGGCAUGAUGGCACCCUAUCAGGGCAUGGUGACACACUAUCGAACCCAAUACUGGGGUCUGGCUCUAACCCAAUACGGGGUUCGACUCUAACCAAAUACUGCAUGGGUCCUGCUCUAACCCAUAACUGGGUCCUGCUCUAACCCAGUACUGGGGUCUCGCUCUAACCCAAUACUGAGGUCAGGCUCUAACCCAAUACGCAUGCCUAAUUUUGAGAAAUAUUGAUUCAUUUAACAUUGGCAGACAUAUAUACUUCUUUCUACUUUUAUCAUCCAAAACUGGCUCCCACAGCCGAUAUCCAUUGUAGUUAUCUCUGCAAUGAAAAUGCAUCACAAUGCUUUGCAGACCAUUGUGACUGUCAUUGGAUAUCAUGACGUCACAAUCAAAUGACAUCACUAAUGCCUCUGCUACUGAAGCUGUUUGCAGUACUUUUUACACUUGAGACACUGCUUA